UUCGCAAUGCCCGAAAGGGUGACGAUGCGACGCCGCGUGAGCGAAGAAGGCCCUAGGGUUGUAAAGCUCUGUCGAGGGUUAUGAAAUAUAGAUGGGUUAAUACCCCAUUUAUUUGACAAAAGCCCAAAAGGAAGCCACGGCUAACUCUGUGCCAGCAGCCGCGGUAAUACAGAGGUGGCGAGCGUUGUUCGGUAUUAUUGGGCGUAAAGAGCACGUAGGUGGUUUUGUAAGUCAGGUGUGAAAGCCUUCUGUUCAAAGGAAGAACGGCAUCUGAAACUGCAGAUCUUGAGUGUAGGAGGGGAGAGUGGAACUUCUGGUGGAGCGGUGAAAUGCGUAGAUAUCAGAAGGAACGUCGGCGGCGAAAGCGACUCUCUGGCCCGAAACUGACGCUGAGUGUGCGAAAGCUAGGGGAGCAAACGGGAUUAGAUACCCCGGUAGUCCUAGCCGUAAACGAUGGGCACUAAGUAGAGGGGUUUU
rnacentral:rRNA from 1 species